UUUAAUGUCCUCUCUAUUAUUGAUGUCCUAUACACCUCCUCUUGAUCCAACUGUACAGUAAUUUACAGGUCACGGGACUUUAAUCCUAAACUAAAAAAAAAGAAAGAUAGAGACAGAGAAAAUUAAAGUAAAAUCUCCAGUACUAGUGAAAAUGAAGCUUCCAUAAGUUCCAUUCGGUUCCAUUUCAAUUAGGUAGGUGUUGCUCAUAAAAAUUUAAUUUGAGAAAAUGGAGGACAAGCGAAGACAAGACUGACACCACUAGAAGACAAAAUCUCUUAUCAAAGAGGGUUUGGGGCUGCAUGGAGCCACAGGAACUAAUCCCUUAGAUCUGACACCGUGAUUAGUAGAUUGUGAUGUCAAGAACUUGGAGAUCACAUGAUGAAAUUGACGAGCCAGACAAAAGACGUACAUGUAGCAGUUGCUACGGAAAGAUAGAAUCAAUCAAAGAUUUGAUCUUACUUCUCUGUUGUCAGUAGGGCAGAAUGAGAACUGUGACAUUACAGUAGGAGGUUGCUGGUAUGUGGUGUUUGAACCAGAAGAUGAUACUUCUCUUCCUCCUGCUUGUACUGGACUCUCUCCUCUCUAUACAACCAGCCGCUCCCUUUACUAUAAAUGUGUCAGUAGCCGAACCAGUUCUUUCAUCUCCCUCUCGUACUAUGGGAGGAGGAGGAGAGAUAGUGUCACCAUCUCCUACCAGUCCAAUGAGUAGCACAUCAACUGAUAGGAAUAAAUCUCUUGGUUUGUCUCAGAUUUGGUGUCAGUGUCUACUAAAGUGUCUGGACCUCGUAAAUGUUUAAUGUCCAGCAAUGAUGAAGAAACACUUAACAUAAUGAUUAAUGAGAGAGAAGUAAUGAAGAUUAAAGAAAGAAGUGGAAUGAAAUACGUUGACUCUUUCUUCAAGAAAAAAUGAAAUUAUUAUUUUGCUCUUGCUCCAACAUUUCCUAAAUUUUGAAUAGUUUAGAAAUGAGAAGUGAAGUCCUUGAGACAGUAUGAUU